CAGAAACUCAGAAACUCACAAAGCAGGGGUGAGACCUCUGCUCGACAGCAAAGGCAGGCAGCGUCCCUCAUCCCUGCACCACGAGGGCGUCACAGCCCCUUCCCGGGUGGCCACAGCCACAGGGCACCCUGCGCCCUCUCCGGGCCUCGCCUUCCUCUUCUGAAACAGGACGGUGAUCUCAUCCCCCUCACAGGCUGAUGCAGAGACCUAAGGAGCACACUGGCUGUACACGGAGGAAAGCACCUCGGUUUCCUGAAGCAGUGUGGCAUUCGAGUCUGAUUUCCAGCAACUCCACUGCCCCCGCAGCCAGACUUUGCAUGAGCAGAGUUCGCAAACCUUCUAGAAUCUGGCGAGGAACAGAGGAAAUCAGCUAAAGGGCGUAACAGGAAGUGGGGCCUGGACCGGGAACCUGGUUCCUCCGCUCUUUCCCUAUAGGUACAGAAGGAACAGGCCCAGGAAUGAGUAAGAAUGUUUUUCUCUACAAAUAACUCACACCCAAGCCUCAAGCAGGGUUAGGGAGUGAGGCAUUGUGUCAUCACCUACCACAGGAAGCCCAGAGCCAGGGCAGACUCCAGACACGGCACGCAGGGUUGUGACUCUACACACCUGGCGCCUGGGGCACUGGUGUCUUCCAGGCAGCUCUGCCAGGUGUCACAUCUGGACAAGACAGAGAGGUACUAUCUUCCCCUUAGGAGUGAUGAACUCCUUUCCAGAAGCUUCCUGCAGGCUUCUCCUCAUGCCUCACGUCUAGAAUAGAGUGAUCUGCAUGUUCCAAGAACAGUCACUGGUUGGAGAGUUGGUAUCACCGUGACUGGGUGAGCCUGAUGGCUCUAAACUCUGGCUGUACAUCAGAAGCACACACUGAGCUUCUGAAAAGGAGAGGCCUGGGCCCCACUUCCAGAGAUUCAGUUCAAUGGAUCUCCUGUAGUACCUGAGCAUCAGAACUUCGUAGCCCCCGAAGGUGCAUGCUACGGCCAGAAAGAAACUCAGGGAAAAAUGGAUGUUGCAGAGACGUCGCCACAAAUGAAACCCACAGCGACAGGAGAAAGCGGCUCGCGUCCCGUUGAAGAAGAUGCUUCCCUGGAUUACUGUGCAGAGUUGAAGCUUUACCUUUCACCUGGAGAACGCGUGGUUCUGUGACCAAAACAGUGGCAGCUCCUCCACCAGCCCCUGCUGCUCCCAUCCCUUCCAGGGAAGAAACUUUUGUUUCUGUGAUGCCAGCGCAGGCAUUCAGAGCAAAGCCACUUCCAGGAAAUUCUAAGAAUGAGGUGCGGGCACCACUGGGCUGGCGCAUGAGAGUCAUGUGCCUCAGACUCCACGCCCCCUGCUGACCGUGCCCACAGGCUCCCAGGUUAUCUGUGGCGGAGGUCAGGGUCUGCUGGGCAGGGUCAGGGAUGUCUGGUUGGGCUGAAGCAGAUGCAGGGGUCCUGCGGUCACCACUGCCUCCGAUGAAGCUCUGAAUGGUCUUCUCUGUUCUUCCAUACGGUCAUGUGCCACACAACAACAUUUCCAACCACAGACAGCGUAUACUAUGGUUGUCCUGUAAGAGUAUAAGGGAGCUGAAAAAUUCCUAUCAUGUGAUGACAUUGUAGCCACCUCAACGUCUUAGCACAAUUAUAUAUAUAUACACACACACAUAUAUAUACUUUAUAUGUAGAGAGAGAGAGUGUGGCCUACGUGUGCAGUGUUUAUAAAGUCUGCAGUAGUCAUAGUGAUGUCCUAGGUCUUCACAUUCACUCCCGACUCACCCACUGACUCACAAGAGCAGCUGCCAGUCCUGCAAGCUCCACUCAUGGUAAGUGCCUUGCACAGGUACUGUUGUUCAUCUUUCGUAUUGUUCUUUCACGGCACCUUUUCUCUGUUUAGAUACACACACGCCACUGUGUCAUAAUUGCCGACAGCACUCAGCGCAGUGACAUGCAGGUCUCAGCCUGGCACGACAGGCUGUCUCAUAUCGCCAGGUGUAAAGCAGCUCAUAGCACGCGGGUGUGUGGAAGUUCACUCUGCGAUGCUCACACAACAGCAAAUUGCCUGAGGACCCAUUUCUCAGAAGGUAUCCUUGUCCUUAAGCAACACAUGACUGACAUUUGUAAAAGGGGCAAGAGACAGCUUGUGCUUCUCAGAAAAGGUGCCCAUUUUCAACUGGUUUAGGAAAUUUAGAAAGAGGGAGGAGGAGUAUUAAAGUGGCUAAGAGUGUUUCUUUCCAGUUGGUUGAUUCUGCACCUCACACACCUAAGGAGUCUGGGAAACAUCCUGGGUAGCAGUGGUGGAGAGUGGUCGUAAUUUACAUUGAAAUGGGGAUCACCACUGCAUAUACAGAUGGCCUUGCUAGGUGCUGAGGAAGCUCUGAUGCCCCCGCGAGGAUCAAACAUGAGUCGUGGAGACAGGACAUGGUGACAUGUAGGAGAACACAGUUGAAUGCCAGGUAAGCCCCACGUGGGCCUCAUGGGUUCAGAGGCUUUUUUCAGAAUUACUUCCAGUAGAACGGUUGCCCGUCACAGGGAGCAUAUCCAAGAGGGCGUGUGUGUGAAGCUGGAAAAGUGGCUUGUACUGGGAAUGGGGUGUCUCAUAUCUCUAUAGAGAGACCGCAGGGAGCUGAGGACUGAAGGAGAGGUUAGAGCAGCUCAGGCUCAAGCCCUCUUCCCCAGAAUCACCAGGAACUUGCCAGGGAGGCUUUUGUUGCUGUUGUUGCAAAAUCCAAUUGCAAUUACAACAAUAAGUGAGGAAUUAAACUACAAGUAUGAAUAGCAUGGGCAGCUUAAUUCUUAAUAAGAAAGCCUAAGGUGCUUUCAACUAAACCACUUUCUGAAGUUUUUUUUUUACCAAAAAUAAAUUAUAUCCCAAAAUUUAUAAGAAAAGGUACAAGAUAAAAAAGUGCCCCCUUUUAGAGCUAAAGUUGUCAAGCUGCAGAUAUUUGAUUGAUUUGUCCGUGAGAGGGUGGGAGGGAAGAAGCCUCCUUAUGUGAAGCCGUCUCAGAAUUUCUACUCCCAGACCCACAUGCGGAUGUGGAAAGCCAAACAUGUGAUUUCAGGCAAAUACAUUAAAGAGUAAGAGAUAGAAAAGUAUGUAAUUGGAUGUAUCAUUAUGAUAUUUUCCACUGUCAGCAAAAGGAAAAAGAUAUUGAUUGUUCACACGCGCAAAGAGAAUCUCACAAACACACUCUUCCUGCAGCCAAUGUCCAUUUAAUCAUUGUGAUAAUGCAGCUACCUAGAUUUUUACUCUCCACAGAUCCAUUAGGUUUAAAAGCUCUUAAAACUUUGAUUCUCUACUGAAAAAUGGAAUGCUUUCUUUCUGGCCAUUAUAAAAUAUACUUUGCAGUAGUUUGUGCUGAUUCCAACCGUCCAUCUUUACAGUUGUUAAAUCAGGUUUAGACUAAGCUGCCUCCUUACAUAUUUUAAGUUUAGCCUGAAGGUUUUUCGGUAUAUCAUGAACUAUAACAAGCGGAGGUGUAAAUGAACUGUAUACUGCUCUUGCGCCAAUCACUCAGUUUGGGCCAAUAAAACGCAGCCAACUGUUUGAAUCAUGUUCAAAUAACGCAAACGAUGUUCAAAUACCACAAACGCCGAGCUGUACCCCAUCCAGCUGUUUCUGCACCUCACUUCCAUUUUCUAUACGUCACUUUCCUUUUUCUAUCCAUAAAUCUUCCUCCAUGUGGCUGCGCUGGAGUCUCUGAGCCUACUCUGGCUCAGAAGGCUGGCUGAUUCAUGAAUCGUUCAUUGAUCAAUUAAAGUCCCUUUCAUUUAAUUUGGCUGAAGUUUUUCUUUUAUCUCACUUGCAUUUUUUUCUUUUGAGACAAAGAAAAACAAUUAUUAACAAGCCAGAAUAGAAGUUUCGCAUUGUCAAAGUGCAUGUGCAGUCCAUUCAUUUUUUCUUGUUAUUGUUAGUCAUCUUAUAAAUACAGAACCACAAACUUCACUUCCUUUCGUAGAAUAUACCUCUUUCGGCUCUGGGAAUUACAAACCCUUUACAAUUUUACCAGUUUCGGAAAAAAACCAAUAGGUUUCUUAUCAGAAACUGUGUUCUCUCCCCAGAUGCCACUCUUUGCAUUUAAAUAACUGAAAUUGAGGACUUUGAUACCACAAACAUCAAAGCUCUCUGUUGACUGCAGGGUCCACUCUCAAAUGCACCUUAAUCCCAUUUGAGCACCCCAAUUCUUAAAGGCAGGGUAUUGUGGUUUCUGAAUUCACCAUGGCUGUCUUUUUAUGGAAGUUCACAGACAGGAGUAAUCUUUGAAUAGCAGUAAUCUAGAGGUGGCGACAUAUGACUUCUUCAUGUCUUUGGCAACUUUGUUUAAUUUUUUUAAAGUUGCUAGUCUCUUUUUCUUAAUGAACGGUCCUUGUUUCAUGUUCGUGGCCAUUUUCAUGGUCAGCCGUCUGGGCAAGCUGCUUUUUCUCUUCUUGUGGUAUCACUCCUCCUCUCCUUACUGCUCAGCUGUAGUUUCACACAACGAGCUAAGUGGAGCUCGUGGGGUCACUUACAGGAAACAAGGAGCAUGACUCGCACCCAUGAAGUUAGAAAUGGCACACGGGGAGGGGAGAUAGAGCAGAUCCGUGCACAGCACUCAUGUGUAAAAUAUGCCUGCACCACUGUCUGCUUUGCGUUUGAGUUCAAAACAAAAGGCUUCCGUGAAAUAUAAUAAGCUAUAUAUAUUUUUCAGAGUGACAAGAAUUGUCUCGCUUCCCUUCAGUUCCCAGACUUCUCCAAAGUUAGUCUAAUGUCAUGACAUUGCCUGGGGAGGCCAGAGGCUGGCCUCAGAGACGAGAAAGCAGGUAGCUUGGCUUGGGCUUGUUUCUUAAGGGUCUAGGUGCCUACAGCGUAGAAAUUCAGCAUUUGCAGAGCACCGAGGUGAGGGGCUGGGGGACGGCAGAGCCUAGGACUUGCAAUAAUGCAAACUCAAGACUGCUGAUUCAAGUCAAGCAGGCUAGAGAAGGGGAAGGCUGAAUUUCUUCAGCAACUGGAACUGAGCUACGUGCAUUCAGUUUCUCUCAACACAUUCUGCUCUGAAUCAAACUGUAUUUUAAACUUCAACACAUUCUGCUCUGAAUCAAACUAUAUUUAAAACUAUUUUAAACUAUAUAUUAAAGCCGUUUUAAACUAUAUUUUAAAACUUACGUUAAAGUUCCUGGGUGUGAUUAUAAUAUUGUGGUUUUGUAGGAGAAUGUCCUUGUUGUUAGGAAACAUCCAGAAAUUUUUAAAUAUGGCCUGUGCAACUUACUUUCAAGUGGUUUCUAAAACAAAGAGAGAGGGGCAGAGAGAGUGCAAAUACGGCCAAUGUUAAUAAUUCAUCAAUCUACAGUGAAGGUCAAACAGCGGUUCUUUGUACUAUUCUUUUAUCUUUUUUGUGAGUUUGAAAUAUUUAAAAAAAUUGGGGAAAAUACUUAGGAAUAACUGUAACAAAAAUACAGGACCUAUAUGAAUCAAUGUACAAUAUAAUAUUUAAGGAUAUAAAAUGCAACCCAAAUUCAUGAAAAGAUUAUAUAUGAUUAGAGAAGUGCAGAUAUGUGAGAUAAUUUUUUCUGGUGUUCAUAUUUUUAAAAUCUCACACACUUUUAUAUAUUAGGACAUUAAAUUGUAGCAAAGAAAAUACAGACCAUUUACUCAUUCAUUCUGCCUCUCUCCGUUUGCUCAAUGAACGCUGACUCAUCACUCGGGCUCACACAGCGGCUCAGCCCCUGGCCCCGGCUCCAGUUCCCCAUUCUGUGUGGGCAGGACAGAAGCGGGAAGCGGGAAGCGAGCGGGGGUGCAGGCGGGGGGACAUGAAUCGGAACAACCGUGGCUGUCAAAGAUGCCGGUGCAUCCAUCUCACUACUCCAGGCUAAGAAGGGACAGACUCAGAAGCUGGGGAGAGGGUUGUGAGGGCCGUGACUCUGGAGAUAACCAUAUCUGCAGGGCUGCUCGGGGUCCACACAGGAGCUCCUCACUUCCUGCUGGUGCUGUGCUGCACUGUUCCCAAAGUGAUGGAGCAAGAGAAUUUGGCCUGGUCCUACUGUGUGCUGUUGCUGUGUGACCCUAGGCAUGUUGCUUCACGUCUCUGGGGCUCAGUCUCCACCUGCAAAAUGAGGUGGGUAGGACCAACUACCUCUCCAAGGUGCCUCCAGCGCUGGUGUUCUAUGAUGGGCUGCCCUGUUUCUUCCAGUCUGGUCAUUUCUUGCAGAUUAAACCUGCUGGGAUAUAACUGGGUGCUACGGUGGGGAUAUUAAGCCCCUUCAAUGCUAAGUGUUGAUGUCACACAUUAACUAUAUCUGAAGCCAACAGAUCAGUACCAAAUUUUGGGCCCACCCUGCCAAGGAGAAGCCGUGGCCUCUCCAGGCCCUUUGCAGCUCCUCCCUCCAGCAUGCAAGCUGGUGCUGGAGGGGCCCUUUCCCUCAGGAGAUCCGGUGCCCCUGCCUGGGAGCCCACACACCUACUGUGCAUGGUGGGAUCUAGAAGUCCCUGCACAGCUCCCUUGGCUCCAGCUCUGCUUCUGUGAUGUGAAUUCCAGCCUUAAUUAGACAGCAGGAGCCUUUCGUACCCAUUUCUGCUCUUUCUCCAAAGUACAGGUGGCUGGGCAACAGCUAUGUGGAGAGAUUUUUUUUCAGGUCUUUGCUCUGUUCCUCUUUUCAGAAGGGAGAAAAAACAGUGGGGGGAAAAGAUGUUUUCUCACUUAAUAGAAGCUGGUGAGAGGCAGUCUAUUAGUAAGGAAUUUGGGGCUUUUUAGAUUUGAAUUUUGGGUCAUUCUUCCUUCUGAUCAUGUCAAUUGGUGAGUUCAUUUCUUCUGCGAAAACAGAUUAGCCUUCGAGCUUCCUGAGAACUGAGACAACGAGGUCCCCUCCAUCUUUGAGUCAGCCUGGCCUCGGGGACAGAGGAUGGAUUUUGGAGUCGGACAAGCCCCGGCUGAGGCUCCCUUCAGUCAUGACCUUCCAAGACGAGAAGCUUCACGGCAGGCAAUGAACAGAGACGGCGUCAUCUCCAAGGCUCAGUGGAGCGAGUCACGUCACCCUCACUUAGCUGCAUGGCGCAUACCAUGAGUCUUGACCAUCACCCGUGGCUUCAUAAAAACUGACCUUUAUUCAGUGAGACCUUCCUGAGUGUCCGUGCUGCGUUUAACUCUUUGAAACAUAAUCUCAUUUAGUCCUCACAGCAUCACCCAGGAGGGAGAUACUAUCUUCAUUCCCGUUUUGCAGUCGAACACCCCUCGACAUUCAGAUGCCCCUUGUCUUCUUUCUGCUGAGCCAUUCUGCUGAUCUUCUGCUCUUCAGUUCAUCUCCUUGACUGCUAGUGGAACUUGUGGGUUGGGGUUUAUAUGGGUACAGGAUGGGGGCCAUGGUGGGCCAGAAGGCAACUUUUGGGCAUGAAAACGAGAAUGCUCAUUCUCGUGUAAGGCUGCAGGUUUCCAGGUUUGAGGCUGGGGCCUUUGCCAGGGAACCGCCCGCUUCUACCCAGUAUUUCCCUGUCUUCUGUCUAUAUCUGUUUAUGACAGUCUACUUGGUCAGAAUAAAGUGAAUCCAGAAGAAACA
rnacentral:lncRNA from 10 species